UACAGAGGGUGCAAGCGUUGUUCGGAAUUAUUGGGCGUAAAGCGCGUGUAGGCGGCUUUGCAAGUCGGGUGUGAAAGCCCUCAGCUUAACUGAGGAAGUGCGCCCGAAACUGCAGAGCUUGAAUACCGGAGAGGAUGGCGGAAUUCCCCAAGUAGAGGUGAAAUUCGUAGAUAUGGGGAGGAACACCGGUGGCGAAGGCGGCCAUCUGGACGGCUAUUGACGCUGAGACGCGAAAGCGUGGGGAGCAAAUAGG
rnacentral:rRNA from 1 species